GACCCAGAUUGCAGGUGAACACCAGGCAGUUCCAUCCCUUGGUGACCUCGGACCGCAGCGUAAACCUCAAACACCAUCUCAAUGCCCCCUCCCACAUGCUCUGAAAGACCUUCCCGGCUGUCCAAGAAACUGCGGCAGAAGUAGAGCAUCUGCUCUAUGCCCAUUCGCAAGGACAAGGACCAGGUACAUCCAAGGGUCCUCGAGUUCUAGUUACUCUAGGGCGUGUAGCUCAUGCACCCCGUUAUCAUGAAAUCCUGCAGGAGUCACAUACCCCGAGACCUCAGCAAGGCGGCAGAGUGACUACCGACAAGCUAGACCAGAGCCACUACAGUGCAUUGAGUCCCCUUUGCCCUUGUCACAAGCAGACUGUCUCCAGGUACAGAUCUGACCAUUGUUUUAGGGAAUGAAGUGAGAUAAAGUGAGGGGCUUUGUGUAUUGGAUGGACUUGCGUAUUGGAUGGACAUCUGAUGGUUGAGAGGUGCUUCUGUCUUGAUGCUGUACCCUGAAUCGGAUGGCAAGAGGGCCCACAAAUUCUAAGUACCACUUGUUCACUAAGAAGAGUCCCGAGAGAGAACAGGGCAGAGCUCUCUUCCUGGGCCUCCCCACUCAGCUAAGAAGUGCUGUUCACCUGUUCACUCUCAUUUCACAUGCUGGAGAAGCUUUCUUCUCUGAGCGUCAGCUCUAUAAACUGCGUGGUUAGGGUCUCCUCUUCUUAGUUCCUGCACUGUUAUCCAGCAGUUGGUGAUUGGGCUUUAGCACAGAUGUGAAGCACGGUCGCCCUGGGAAGUCAUUCUUUGAUCAGAAUGCAUCAAACAGGUUUUAUUCCUUUGCAUGCUGCAGUGGAACACAGGGCCUUGAGUAUGUCAGACACACGCUGGACCUCCUAACUCCACCUCCUGUUCUCCCUGUAUGCAAAGCAACAACUGAUAGACAUGGAGGCACACACAGUUAAUGUUAGCAUCCAGGAGGCAGAGGCUGGUGGAUCUUUGAGUUCAAGGUCAACCUGAGAGACAGUAUCU